GGGGACGCUGGUGGAGAAGGGCACGGAAAAGGGGUGUCACUGGCACUGAGCAUCCUUCAGCCCCCUCCGUGCCCUCCCGGCCUGGCAGUGGGAGCUGCUCGGGCUGUGCGGGGGCAGGAGUCACCCCCGAGCAAUGCAGGAAGCACUCGAGCUGUGGCUUCCCCAGUGGCCCCAGUUCUCCCGGUCAGGGGGGGGAAGAGAGGAACAGAAAGUGCAGUGAAAGCUGCGGCGGUGCGCGGGGAACAGGAUGUGCAGCAGGGCAGGGUCCACCCGGGAAAACACCCAAACCUUCAGCACGUGCCCGGCCGGUCCCCACCAAACAACGCCAGGAAUAUUUCAGGCCAAGCCGACCGGGCUGUCAUUUGGGGAAAGUGUCACCGCUGCCCCGACCCCUUUUUUCCAGUGGGGCGUCCUGCUCAUCCCUGACCGUCGCUGGUCCCGAGCGCUGGCUCGAAGCCUCCGCUUUGGGGAGCAGCAGCUGCCUUUUGGCUGUGCUUGAUGACACUCGGCACAGCCUGGGCUUGGCUCCUCUGCCCCAGGAAUUCGCCCGGCACGAGAGGAGGAAGCGCCGGGGCCGGGUCCCCUCCCAGCGCUGCCAGGUGCCCCUCCAGCUGCGGAGCAGCCUCACGCAGCGAGCCACGAACCCUGCCCGUGACUCAGGCUGUGGCUUAGAGGAAAUCGCCGAAGCUCCGGGUGCCCCCAUUUCCCCGUGUGUAAAAAUGUGGAUAAUAACACGGGGCUGCUUUCCACGCGAGGGGUGAAUAUGAACAGAUACCUGCAUAAUAAUCGCUCGGGAGCUGCAUCACAACAUCGGAUUCCAGGACGCUUGAAAGAAUGGGUAAUGGCCACAACGGCCCUAAUAAAUGUAAUGACACA